rnacentral:lncRNA from 1 species
GAAGAAUCGAUCGGUACCCAACCAGAGGCGGAGACGACUACAUUUUUUCCACUGGAAUACGGUAAGUAUCUUUUCGUUGGGUUUGGCACGGAAACGAAUUAAUUCCGAAGAAUACCACUCGGGAUAGAAAAUUAAUGCCCCAGACACGGACGGAAAUGGAGAGAGACCGGGCCAUUAGGCCGCUCCUAGUUUCUGUCCAGCAUAAUAAUAAUAAUAAUAGUAAUUAUUUUGUGUGGCCGUUUAUUAAGGAGUUAGACGAGAAGAUGUCGGGAGACCAGAGGCGUAAUAGAUUCCAGCAUUUAAACGCGGAAAUGGGUUGUGUAGAAAUAGGAGAAAGGAAUAGGGCCUCUUAUGGACGACGGCCAAUGCGAAUAGUAAGCCAUCGGUGUUAUCGAGUACCGCGUAUAUUUUAAUGGAGCGCUUCAAUUGUUCUCCUUAAUCGUUUUUGAAUUAACACGUUUUAGGCCAAAACGGUAUUUUAUGUAAGAGCGUCUUUUCCAAGCAACUCGGACCAAUUAACCGGGGAAAUUUGGCCGAUAUAUCUGUGGGUCGAAUACCUUUUUAUUUAAUAUACGUAUCGAGUACUAACGUCUUUUAUCGGCUACCGAGGCUUACCUUCGACUUACUCGCUUCUUUUUUACGCAACCGUCUCGGUUUCCGCCAAUGUUUUACCGUAUAUUUAGUCGAGUCGGCCUUACUACCGAAAAUGGCGGCCGUCCGAAAUUAUUUAAUUCUGGAAAAAUUGGCCGUUUCCAGUAUUCCGAAGAGGCGCCAGAUAUUGGACGAUUACCAACCGAACAUACGGUAUAUAGCUGUAGACAUUUCGGGCCGUUUUUUCCACCGAAUUGUAUAGGCCGAGUACCAGUUAUCGGCGUAACUUCUAAACCAUUUUUCAAAUUUUCGCGAUUUCCGGAAUAUCGGGCGCCACGGCUACGGUCCGAGUCGCUAGGCUAAGGCGGCCGCUCCACCGCUUACGGUCCCACUUAUAUUUUUGCCAAUCGGCCGUAGGCGGAAGAAAGCCCGAGAGCGGCGCGGGACGGCCCCGGCUAUUUUUUUCCGUUUCCGACCAUACCACGCUUUGGUUUAGUUUUGCCGUUUUUUCUUUUGCAGCGGAACGAGAAGCCAGUCCUUUUCCGGAAAGUAGAGAAGAAGGCGUCAACGGUGCGGAGG